rnacentral:misc_RNA from 1 species
GCGCAGCAGCAGCAGCAUGCGGUGGGGGAGAAUCAUAGGGAUUCGUUGAUGAUGGAUCUUGAUUUGGAUCUCGACGCUUCCUGGUCAUUUGAUCAGAUCUUCGCCGCAGCUGCUUCAGCUUCAAAUCCUAUGUCGCCGUUUCUCGUAUCGGCUGCUUCUGAACAGCCUUGUUCUCCACUUUGGGCUUUUUCUGAUGAAAACGAAGAUAAGCCUAACGGAAAUGCUCUCUCUACAGGCAGUUUACGGCUCUCCAACUACCCUAGAUUUGUCACUUAUGCUAAUGAACAUGAGGCUGCACCUGAAACUGUGUCUGUCACUGAUGAUAAGAAAAGAAUCCCUCCACCAAUUAAAGGAUUAGCCCCGUUAGAUUAUCUGGAUAGUUCUUGCAUAAUCAA